CUGGUUUCUGAUAUCGAUAACUUUAGUAAUGUUUGACGGAUUUUAAUCAAAUUUGAUAUGAAAGUACAUGGCAUCAAAACAUGGCCUUAGUUUGAUUUCCCAGUAUGUACCCUGCGAGGGGAUGCUAUGCUUUGCGUUGACUUGUUUUAUUUAUGUCAUUUAGCAUUAUGAAUGAGGGCUCAUUAUUUGUAUUUAUUGUAAUAUAUUGAUAUUGGUAUUUUAUUAAAUGUAAUUUUUUGUUUUGUUUUGUUUGUAUUUUAGGUUACUGAGAGUUGAAGAGAGAGUUGCAGAAAAUUUGAUAGAUCUACUCUUACUGUUGGACAGUUACUGAGAGAGAAGCAAGGAGGCAGAGGUAAAUUCAGCUCUUACUGUUGGACAGUUAGUGAGAGGGAAGCAGGGAGGAAGAGGUGAAUAGAGCUCUUAUUGUUGAACAUUUACUGAGAGAGAAGCAAGGAGGCAGAGGUGAAUAGAGCUCUUACUCUUGGACAGUUAUUUAGAGAGAAGCAAGGAGGCAGAGGUAAAUAGAGUUGUUACUGUUGGACAGUUAUUGAGAGACGAGCAAGGAGGAAGAGGUGAAUAGAGCUCUUACUGUUGGACAGUUACUGACACAGAAGCAAGGAGGCAGAGGUGAAUAGAACUCUUACUGUUGGACAGUUAAUGAGAGAGAAGCAAGGAGGCAGAGGUAAAUAGAACUCUUAUUGUUGGACAGUUACUGACACAGAAGCAAGGAGGCAGAGGUGAAUAGAACUCUUACUGUUGGACAGUUAAUGAGAGAGAAGCAAGGAGGCAGAGGUAAAUAGAGUUGUUACUGUUGGACAGUUAUUGAGAGACAAGCAAGGAGGAAUAGGUGAAUAGAGCUGUUACUGUUGGACAGUUACUGAGACAGAAGCAAGGAGGCAGAGGUGAAUAGAGCUCUUACUGUUGGACAGUUACUGACACAGAAGCAAGGAGGCAGAGGUGAACAGAACUCUUACUGUUGGACAGUUAAUGAGAGAGAAGCAAGGAGGCAGAGGUAAAUAGAACUCUUAUUGUUGGACAGUUACUGACACAGAAGCAAGGAGGCAGAGGUGAAUAGAACUCUUACUGUUGGACAGUUAAUGAGAGAGAAGCAAGGAGGCAGAGGUAAAUAGAGUUGUUACUGUUGGACAGUUAUUGAGAGACAAGCAAGGAGGAAGAGGUGAAUAGAGCUGUUACUGUUGGACAGUUACUGAGACAGAAGCAAGGAGGCAGAGGUGAAUAGAGCUCUUACUGUUGGACAGUUGAUGAGAGAGAAGCAAGGAGGCAGAGGUAAAUAGAGUUGUUACUGUUGGACAGUUAUUGAGAGACAAGCAAGGAGGAAGAGGUGAAUAGAGCUGUUACUGUUGGACAGUUACUGAGACAGAAGCAAGGAGGCAGAGGUGAAUAGAGCUCUUACUGUUGGACAGUUACUGACACAGAAGCAAGGAGGCAGAGGUGAAUAGAACUCUUACUGUUGGACAGUUAAUGAGAGAGAAGCAAGGAGGCAGAGGUAAAUAGAACUCUUAUUGUUGGACAGUUACUGACACAGAAGCAAGGAGGCAGAGGUGAAUAGAACUCUUACUGUUGGACAGUUAAUGAGAGAGAAGGAAGGAGGCAGAGGUGCCAUCUGCCAUUUGGACUUUGACUGAAUAAAGUUUUUGGAGUGUACUGGUUGAAGCAGAUUUCAUUAUCAUCUCCAUCUCAUCUCAUACCAUCUCAUCUCAUACCAUUUCAUCUUCACCCACAAAACUCAUAAUCUUGAGUUUUUGAGAAAAGCACUCAUUCAAACCUUCAUCUAUCAUAAAGUCUGUGUGCGGGCAACUCACGACAAUAACCCUAGCACUCUUAAGCUUUGAUACGAACUUCUUGGUGAUCAUGAUGAACACUGUUACUUGGAUUUGAACCAAUCAAGGACCCUAUCAAGUACGACCAACAAAAGAAAAUGUGGCAGAUCAAAGAAGAGGUAUG